rnacentral:lncRNA from 1 species
AUGAAGGUCCAAGACUUGUUCAUGGGUUUUGCUCUUGUUGCUGUGAUCAGUGCAGCACCGAUAGAGGACAAAGCUUUAUAUGAUGAAGAGUACCACCCUGAAGACUUUGAGAUAGAUCCUACACAAUAUGAGAAACUCUUACAGAAUCUGCAGAGUUAUGAGAAAGCUCUGGAGAAAGGUUUUGGAGACGAGGAAUUCCUGGGCAUAUCCUUUGACUACGGUGAGCUCCUGGGCACAGAGUUGGAGAAUGAAACAUUCCUGGCCGCAGGACUCGGGGUUGAUGUGUCUGUUGGUGCACUUCUUGGAGAUGAAGCGGCCCUGGGUGAAGGCUUUGGAGAUGUGGAGUCCCUGGCCACAAGCUUUGGAUAUGCAGAACUCCUAGACACAGAGUUGGGAAAUGACACACUUCUAGUUGCAGGACUUGGGGUUGAGAUGUCUGUUGGUGCCCUGGGCGAAGAUUUUGGAGAUGAUGACUUACUUCUGGCAGCAGCUCUUGGAGAUGAGCCCCUCGGCGCAACCUACGCAUAUGAAGAGCUCCUGGGCACCGAGACUGGAAAUGAGACACUCCUGGCUGCCGGACUCGGGGUUGAGGUGUCUGUUGGUGCGCUCCUUGGAGAUGAGGCGGCCCUGGGCAACGGGGAACUCUUGAAUGUCAGUGAAGAAGAUGAGAAACUCAUGGAGAUCGCUUUGGAAAACCUCAAUCUCGAAGAUGUGCUGAAAGCAGCAGGUUCUGACGGUGAAAUCAGAUCUGAUGCUGAAUGAGCUGAGAAAAAUGAAUCCCUCACUGCACACUGCCUGUAUGUCUCAGUAUACUUCUCACACUCUUCAAACUAUUUGUUUCAAUCAUAAAGGGAAAAGAUCACAAAGCAAAAUAACCUUUAAUCUCAAGAGAACGUAAUCUACAGUUCACCAAGUGAGGAAUGUGAUAUUCUGUCAUGUUUUUGUGGCUUAUAUGUUAACAUGUAUGUUUAUCUGCUCUUUCUCUGCAGCUCUGCAGGCUCGUGGCUUCAUCAUGGUCAUGAUGCAUGUAAGGCAGAUGAAGUGCAUUAACUGAGGCACUGUCUCAAACAUAAGGGAAAGUAAAAAUGUUUUGAAAUGAAAUAAAAAUAUUGGUCUCAGUUUCAAGAUUAAUAUUUUCUUUAUUUUUUAUUCUUUGUGUGUCUGUGUGUGUAUAUGAAUCUUAUUAUAAUAUAUCUCAAAAGCAUGCAGAGAUUUUGCAAACAAUGUAUUUUCUGUUGCUUAACUACAUUUUCAUUUAUAAAUGACUUGAAUUUGAUCAGCAGAAUCAGUUUUUUUACGUUCCCAUAACAGCAUAAAAAUGCAGGUAAAAUGUUCUUCAUUCCGCAUUUAGAGCUUUCGAGUAACUAUCGCCUGAACCACACAGUGAGCAAACAACUGUUGGGUGACUUUAUUUAAGUAAAGUAUUCAAAUAAGAC